UCCCUGGUGUCUCAGUGGUACAGAAUCUGCCUGCCAAAGCAGGAAACACAGGUUCAAUCCCUGAUCCGGGAA
rfam:TPA: Bos taurus chromosome 13, whole genome shotgun sequence.